CCCUCUAAUUAUGAUAGCUGUUCGGUAAUAGAAACAUGUAAUUUGUCUUGUCGGAAAGGUAGUUUAUUUUUGAGCUUUAUGGUUACAGUUUGGUCUCUAGAGAAGCCUUGCUGCGGUGUGAGUUUCACUUGAAAAUGAUUAGAACACAUCUUGAUGAUUGUUGUGUCUCGCGCUUUCUUUACUGCUGCUUUGUAAAGCGCCAUGGCGUUCAUUGAGUCCUUUAAACCCAGUUGUUCUACGGUGAAUAGGAGCUUUAUGUAUCUGAGUUUUCUUCCUCUGCUGGAGUGAAGUUUCUUGAUCAUAGCUCUGUGUGUUAAUAAUCUAAGGUUGAUUUGUUUAAUAUGGUUUUUGUAUGGUCAGAUGAUGGGUAAAGUAAACCAAGAGAGGCUAGCUGAAUACCUCGGGGAGUUGAAACAGAAGCAAGAUACCAACGACAGAUACGUGGCUGCUCUAAAGGGAGAGACUCUUACCAGGAAGCCUUACCAAAGAAUUCAACCUGUGCCAAAGCCAAAUGACAC
rnacentral:lncRNA from 1 species